AACAAAACAGCUUGCUUGUGAAAUCAAUGUGUAAGUGUCUGGGUAUUCCACAGACAUGUGUACCCUUAACAUAGUUCUUGGAGAGAUUCAGCGUGCACAGAAUGUGACAAAGUUGGCUCUUUGAACUAUAGGUGCCAUUCAUUUUUGCCAGCUGAGUAGAA